UAGGGCAUUAAGUAUAGUUCGGGAUAUUUGUCGAAGAAACUGGAAUAAUUUGCUGGAUGCAAAAUUGCGUUAAAUUUCGGGGCGGGAGAAUGCAAAGAAACACCGGGCUUGUCGUACGUGCAUGCUCCGGUGCUGUGGGAGAGGAUAUGCUGUUGCAACAAUAUUAAACCCAAGUGCUUGUGAUUUAGGAGUGAAGCGCUGCUGCCCUCUCCCCGGCGGUGUCACGUGUCCUUUCCGGAACCCUAGAGGCGGAAAUCUCCGAAAGUAGCCGAUCGUCCGGCUGUGCGGACUGAGGACGAAGGACAGAAGAAGGGAGGAAGGAAAAAAAACACUUAACACCUUGAGGAGGAGCCCAGUCCUUCCCGGGAACAUUUACUCAGCUCCGGAUUAAUUCCUCAUGACUUCUAAUGGAAAAUCUGCUGGCUUGUAGAAACAAUUUAACGAGGGGUUGCUGCUUUAUAGGGAACACGUAUUGCCCAACUUUGCAGCUGAUCCAUUAGUGAAUUAUCAGAUGUAAGUAUUUUUGACAAAGAUGAUCACUUAAAUGUAGUUUUUGUAUGUAUUAAAUUUGAUGCAUGCUAACGACUUUAACCCUGUGAAAACACCCACUGCUUUAUCUGGAAUACUGGUUUAGCCUGUAAGUGCGACUGGUAGAAUUUUCUAACUGUGAUCAUCAUUGUGUUACAUUAUGUCCAUCACACAUUCACUUCACUUCAGUGUUAGAGACAUGUGACGAAGGAGAUUGAUCUUAAAUAUUCCCCACAUCAUUAAGAUGAAGUAAUAAAAUAAUUUAUGAACACUACUUUCUACCUCCUGGCUAUACUCACUGAAUUGCCAAUUAGAUGCAACAGCAUGAAGACAGUCCAGCUAUUGCAAGUGGAUUUUAAUGGGGUUUAGAGGUCUUGUUGAAAUGGUAUCAAGCCUUGAUGAAAUCACGUUGCGUGUUGUGCACA